CAGUAGCGCGGUAAUACGUAGGUGGCAAGCGUUGUCCGGAAUUAUUGGGCGUAAAGGGCUCGCAGGCGGUUUCUUAAGUCUGAUGUGAAAGCCCCCGGCUCAACCGGGGAGGGUCAUUGGAAACUGGGAAACUUGAGUGCAGAAGAGGAGAGUGGAAUUCCACGUGUAGCGGUGAAAUGCGUAGAGAUGUGGAGGAACACCAGUGGCGAAGGCGACUCUCUGGUCUGUAACUUACGCUGAGGAGCGAAAGCGUGGGGAGCGAACAGGAUUAGAUACCCCUGUAGUCCCUGUCUCUUAUACA
rnacentral:rRNA from 1 species